rnacentral:rRNA from 1 species
UACGUAGGGUGCAAGCGUUAAUCGGAAUUACUGGGCGUAAAGCGUGCGCAGGCGGUUUUGUAAGUUUGUUGUGAAAGCCCCGGGCUCAACCUGGGAAUUGCGAUGAAGACUGCAAGGCUUGAAUCUGGCAGAGGGGGGUAGAAUUCCACGUGUAGCAGUGAAAUGCGUAGAGAUGCGGAGGAACACCGAUGGCGAAGGCAGCCCCCUGGGCUAGCACUGACGCUCAGGCACGAAAGCGUGGGGAGCAAACAGG